CGUAGCGACUGGUACGUUCAUUUUGAAUAUAAAAAUUGUUUUUCUGAGAGGGGCAUGUUUAAGGUUACAUACAAUAAGCAUAAAAUGUUGGAAGAGGGACUCGUCUACGUCUAUCACCGUCCGUUUACGGUGCUGCGAUAAUCCAAGAGAGCAGACGGAGCCAUUCGUAUUACCACAUUAGAGGUGAAAUUUUCGUAUCCUCAUAAGACAAACAGCAGUGAUGGAAUGGGGAAAUCACGUUUUCCUUGAUCUAGAGCGAAUGUCAGAUGUUCGAACACGAUCAGAUACCGUCGUAGAAAAACGAUGCCGACAGGCAAACCAUGACCCGGCGGGUAUCCUGGGGAAAGCAGUGUUCGGUUGCGGGAAUGUUUGCUUAGCUGAAACUUAACGGAAUUGACAGACGGUCGCCACCAGGAGUAGAGCCUCCAGCUUAAUUUGACUCAACACGGGAAAGCUCAACAGGUACGAACACCGAUAGGAUUAACAGGUCGAUAGCUCUUUCUUCAUUCAGUGCAUGGCGGUCUUAGUUUGUGCGAUUCAUCUGGUUUGUUCCGAUAACGAAGGAGACUUCUGUUUGCUGU